GCACUGCGCUUCAACUUGAUUGACUCUGUGCACCAUCCCUCAGGUUGCCCUGAAGAUUCAGGUUUUUCACAAGGUCUGUACAAAUCUCUUUGUGUCUCCAUGAGAUCCAGAGUCCUGUGGAGGCAAAAGAAGCAGUGAGCAGGCUCAAAAGAAAAGGCAGGGGAAGAUGCUGACCUCCAGGCACUGCGAAUGCUAACAGAAAACAUAGUCCAAUGGCAGAGGAGCUCCUGGUGCCAGCUCACCACCCAACUGUAUGAGUUCACACAACAAAAGGGACAGGAGCAUGCAAAUGGUGUUGAAGGAAGAGCUGUACCACAGCAGCCCAGAUGCAAAUCACCUUCAGGUACCAGAGCACUCUGGAAAGAGAGGACUCAGCUGGCUGCACUGCUAAGACUUUUCUGUGAAGAAUUCAUCCAGCA
rnacentral:lncRNA from 1 species